AUUGAACGCUGGCGGCAUGCCUUACACAUGCAAGUCGAACGGCAGCACGGAGCUUGCUCUGGUGGCGAGUGGCGAACGGGUGAGUAAUAUAUCGGAACGUACCCUAGAGUGGGGGAUAACGUAGCGAAAGUUACGCUAAUACCGCAUACGAUCUAAGGAUGAAAGUGGGGGAUCGCAAGACCUCAUGCUCGUGGAGCGGCCGAUAUCUGAUUAGCUAGUUGGUAGGGUAAAAGCCUACCAAGGCAUCGAUCAGUAGCUGGUCUGAGAGGACGACCAGCCACACUGGAACUGAGACACGGUCCAGACUCCUACGGGAGGCAGCAGUGGGGAAUUUUGGACAAUGGGCGAAAGCCUGAUCCAGCAAUGCCGCGUGAGUGAAGAAGGCCUUCGGGUUGUAAAGCUCUUUUGUCAGGGAAGAAACGGUGGGAGCUAAUAUCUCUUGCUAAUGACGGUACCUGAAGAAUAAGCACCGGCUAACUACGUGCCAGCAGCCGCGGUAAUGCGUAGGGUGCAAGCGUUAAUCGGAAUUACUGGGCGUAAAGCGUGCGCAGGCGGUUUUGUAAGUCUGAUGUGAAAUCCUCGGGCUCAACCUGGGAAUUGCAUUGGAGACUGCAAGGCUAGAAUCUGGCAGAGGGGGGUAGAAUUCCACGUGUAGCAGUGAAAUGCGUAGAUAUGUGGAGGAACACCGAUGGCGAAGGCAGCCCCCUGGGUCAAGAUUGACGCUCAUGCACGAAAGCGUGGGGAGCAAACAGGAUUAGAUACCCUGGUAGUCCACGCCCUAAACGAUGUCUACUAGUUGUCGGGUCUUAAUUGACUUGGUAACGCAGCUAACGCGUGAAGUAGACCGCCUGGGGAGUACGGUCGCAAGAUUAAAACUCAAAGGAAUUGACGGGGACCCGCACAAGCGGUGGAUGAUGUGGAUUAAUUCGAUGCAACGCGAAAAACCUUACCUACCCUUGACAUGGCUGGAAUCCUUGAGAGAUCAGGGAGUGCUCGAAAGAGAACCAGUACACAGGUGCUGCAUGGCUGUCGUCAGCUCGUGUCGUGAGAUGUUGGGUUAAGUCCCGCAACGAGCGCAACCCUUGUCAUUAGUUGCUACGAAAGGGCACUCUAAUGAGACUGCCGGUGACAAACCGGAGGAAGGUGGGGAUGACGUCAAGUCCUCAUGGCCCUUAUGGGUAGGGCUUCACACGUCAUACAAUGGUACAUACAGAGCGCCGCCAACCCGCGAGGGGGAGCUAAACGCAGAAAGUGUAUCGUAGUCCGGAUUGUAGUCUGCAACUCGACUGCAUGAAGUUGGAAUCGCUAGUAAUCGCGGAUCAGCAUGUCGCGGUGAAUACGUUCCCGGGUCU
rnacentral:rRNA from 1 species